rnacentral:rRNA from 1 species
AACGUAGGACACAAGCGUUAUCCGGAGUUACUGGGCGUAAAGGGCGUGUAGGCGGAUCGGUAAGUCUACUCUGAAAGCUCCUGGCUAAACUGGGAGAGGCGAGUGGAGACUGUCGGUCUAGAGUGAGGAAGAGGAAAGUGGAAUUCCGCGUGUAGUGGUGAAAUGCGUAGAUAUCUGGAGGAAUACCGGUGGCGAAGGCGGCAUCCUGGACCGGCAUUGACGCUGAGGAGCGAAAGCUAGGGGAGCAAACGGGG